UACAUCCAGAAACUAUCCACCCGA
rnacentral:piRNA from 1 species